CGUGCAGGCGGGUCUGCCAGUCGGGUGUGAAAUAUUCGGGCUUAACCCGGACAGGUCAUCCGAAACUGCGGAUCUUGAGUACUGGAGAGGAUAGUGGAAUUCCUAGUGUAGCGGUAAAAUGCGUAGAUAUUAGGAGGAACACCAGUGGCGAAGGCGGCUAUCUGGACAGUAACUGACGCUGAGGCGCGAAAGCGUGGGGAGCAAACAG
rnacentral:rRNA from 1 species